rnacentral:rRNA from 1 species
AUGGCUCAGGAUGAACGCUGGCGGCGUGCCUAAUACAUGCAAGUGAAACGGGUAUCUUCGGAUACCAGUCGCGGACGGGUGAGUAAUACAUAGGCAACCUGCCUUUAUGAGGGGGAUAACCGAGGGGAACUUUGGCUAAUACCGCAUGAAGACUCUAAGGCAUCUUAGAGGGAUAAAAGUUGGGAAACAACGCAUGAAGAUGGGCUUAUGGCGCAUUAGCUAGUUGGUGAGAUAGAAGCCCACCAAGGUAAUGAUGCGUAGCCGACCUGAGAGGGUGAACGGCCACAUUGGGACUGAGACACGGCCCAAACUCCUACGGGAGGCAACAGUAGGGAAUUUUCGGCAAUGGGGGGAACCCUGACCGAGCAACGCCGCGUGAAAGGAAGAAGGUUUUCGGAUUGUAAACUUCUGUUAUAAGGGAAGAACGGAUUGGAUAGGGAAUGAUCUGAUAGUGACGGUACCUUAUUAGAAAGCCACGGCUAACUACGUGCCAGCAGCCGC